CGACUUUUCCGCUUUGCUCGGGGGACAACCUUAAUUGAAAUAGCUGUAUACAAAAAAGAACAAUUCACAAUUUUCAAUGUCCAGUGAUAUGUCACUCAGCAUAAGCCUCGCAGUGCCUCGGAAGGUCAUCUCCAAUUGGAUGGGGGUUUUCUAAAGAACGAAGCAAUUCAUUGUUGUAAACACAAAAGCAAUUGUCAAAUCGAGCCAAUGAAAAUCACUCUUCCGAGCUACUGCGAGGCUACCCUAUGCUGCAUAUGUAUUGUACAAAAUUUUAGUCUAAAAGGAGUUUUAAUAAUUUUAGCCUAUAGGGAAGCCUUUUGUCCACGAGAAACAUCAUAUGUUCGUUUGAGGGGGGGGUUGCAGCUGUGACGUUUCUCUGCAAAACAUCAUGGAAAAGUUCGAUAGUUUUUUCGAAACCCUUACCAUUUCGGAAUCAUCUUUGCAGAAUAUAAAAGAGAAACCAACUUGAUAAAAACAUCAGUCUAUACAUUCGAAAUGCCAUACAUGUUCUAUACAUUUAUAUUAUUACGCCUUCCGGCCUUGCAUUGAAAACACUCAAAUUUCAAGAAAAACGCGCUAAAAUUGUCAAUGUUUCAUCCAAUGAUGCAAAAGAAGUUGUUUUGAGAAACGUUGGAAAUUUUGAAGUUCAUGUGUAUUAAUAAAAAACAUAUGUCAGCAGAAGAUGACAUAUUCCUCGCGGAAGCAUCGCUAAUAGGCGACCGUAGAAAAUAGUAGAAAAUUACCUCAUGUGUACUAUAAGAACAGAAUAUCGAUAACUAUGUGUGACAUUUCUAAGGAGUAAGGGGGUCCAUAUUACGUUUCUCGUGGACAAAAUCAAUAUGUGAGUAUUUUAGUUUGCACAUUACAGAAUCGUGUAAAGAAUAUAUACCACCGGGUGGCGCAAAAAAAAGUAUAACUGUUUGAUUACAUAUAGCUCAAAGACCAUAAGCAGUAGAACCCAAAAUCGAGUUGCAUUGCAUCCAGCGAUGUCUAACUUAAAUUUUGGUAUACUCGACAGGCAUUUUCGUCCAAGAUUGACUGAGAUAUGAGUGUUUAAACU